CUCCCCGUGGCGCAAUGGUAGCGCGCAAGACUUCUAAUCUUGAGGCUGCGGGUUCGAGUCCCGCCGGGGAGU